rnacentral:misc_RNA from 1 species
AAGUCGUAACAAGGUUUCCGUAGGUGAACCUGCGGAAGGAUCAUUAACACGUAUCCAAACACGUUAAACCAAAACCUCGCGAUCCUUUUUUGCCCAUACUGGACGAGUGCAGAUGUAAGCUACCAAGGUAGAUUCAUAGGGUCGCAAGGCUCUUUGUCUGCUUGCAAUGCUGUAGGUUUCCUUCGAGAGGCCAACUUGCUCUGGUAUGGUGUAUCAAAAAGCUACCUUGGUUAUCAGUGCCACCCCGGUAUCGACCCGGAGCCUGGUAACCUUACUAAAACCCCAAACCUUUUUUAACCCCUUUCAUACCUUUUAUUGUACUGAUAUAUUCUUUGAGUAUGGUUGACGAAAGUCUAUAAACAUGCCUGCUCUGAAAUACGAAACAUACGAACAACUCUUAGCAACGGAUAUCUUGGUUCUC